CGAUGGGGAGAAGUCAGCUGUCAACGGACCCGAAGCGGCCUUCAGACGCCGACCGUAACGUGAUUUGGCACCUCCAGGAGAACUUCCCUGCGGAUGGUGCCUGGCUCCCCUUAAGCUGACGUCUCUGAACAGGCCCGUGAUCAGCUGGAUCUCUCAGACAGGAUUGUCUCAGUCAAAAGCAGAGAACAGAGAGAGAUGGACAAACCUCAGCAUUCGGAGAGCUACCCUUGACAGAGAGCUGGUGAAAUAAGAUGUCGCUACUGUUUCAAUUUCGGAUACCCCAAUUUCCGUCGGAGUAAACUCAAGGAGCUGCGGCUUAAGGAAGCCAGCGCCCAAAAGAACAGCCCCGCAGACAACUGCCUCGCUGGGUCCACAUCGAGAAGAUAACUUGAAUCGCCGCCGCCCCUUACUCCAUCUCUCCUCGCCUGCAUUCCACCGCUCUCUCCUCCUUUGCUCCGAGUAAAUAGUAAAAGGCCUAUUCAAGGCCCGUGGACCACACCGAAAGCCUUAAUUAGGCUGAUGAAAUCCCGAGAAAUGUAUGGAUUCGCUAUAAUCGAGGGUGUUCUCUCUCCCCACCCACCCCCGCCAACCCACCCCGCUCCUCUGGUGUCUAUAGUCAAGGAAUACGGGAGCAGCUGGGAGAAUUGAAAAGCCCGUCAGGAUGGGGUGAAGGAAGUCAU